GACGAACGCUGGCGGCGUGCUUAACACAUGCAAGUCGAACGGAAAGGCCCUGCUCUUGCGUGGCGCUCGAUUGGCGAACGGGUGAGUAACACGCGAGUAACCUGCCCUUGUCUUUCGGGUAACUUCAGGAAACUGGGGCUAAUACUGGAUAUGAGCUCCUGCUGCACGGUGGGGGUUGGAAAGUUUCGGCGGUUGGGGAUGGACUCGCGGGUUAUCAGCUGGUUGGUGGGGUAGUUGCGUACCAAGGCUUUGACGGGUAGGCGGCCUGAGAGGGUGGCCAGCGACCAUGGGACUGCGAUACGGAGCAGACUGCAACGGGACGCAGCAGGGGGGAGUAUUGCACAGUGGGCCGAAGCCUGAUGCAGCAACGCCGCGUGCGGGAUGACGGGUUUUGGGUUGUAAACCGAUUUCGCCUGUGACGAAGCGUGCGUGACGGUAAUUGGUCAAGAAGCACCGGCUAACUACGUG
rnacentral:rRNA from 1 species